rnacentral:misc_RNA from 1 species
UCUCCGUUGGUGAACCAGCAGAGGGAUCAUUACAGGACUCGCAAGACUCCUACAACCCUGUGAACUUAACUAUAAGCACGUUGCUUCGGCGGGUGUCUCGGAGGGGGUUCUCCCUCCCCGAGACGCUAAACCCGCCGGCAGCCUACUAUACUCUGUCUCUUUGCGUUGGCAUCUCGAGUACAAUCAAACAAGUUAAAACUUUCAACAACGGAUCUCUUGGUUCUG